UUUGCAUUGGCUUCGGACAAGAUGCGAAUUCAUGCGCCAUGGUAGCCGCAUUGGCGCUGCCAUGGGCGCUGUCAUGCUCAGCUUACUAUCUGGCUCG
rnacentral:SRP_RNA from 1 species